AAUAAGUUUGAUUCUGUUUUAAUUGCUUAUAUUUUUACUGAAAUUGUAUGGGAGUUAAAAUAUGUAAUAUUUUAAGGUGCUUAAAGUGCUAGUGUAAAAAGAAAUAAAUUAUGAAAAUUUAUGAUUUAUAAAGUUAAAGUCCCAGCAUAAAAUUUUAAAUAAAUUUAUAAAAGUAAGAUUUAGCAGUAAGUAAUAGGUCUGGUAAAAAAUUGUGCCAGCAGUCGCGGUUAGACUUUAAGGCCAAGUAAGUAUUAGUUUGGUUACAGUUAAAGAGAUAGUAAAAAAAAAAUUGAAAAAACAAAGGGUGAAAUCAAUUAUGUUUAAAAAUGAAAUUAAUAGAUGUUUUACUUGACUUGAGGCUGAUUUUUUUAGAGUUGGACUAGGAUUAGAUACCCUAUUACACUAAAAGGUGAAAUAUAUAAUAACCUAAUUAUUUAUAGAUAUGUUCUUGAAAUUUGAAGAAUUUGGCGGUAAUUUAGUCUUGUCAGAGGAAUUUGUUUUUUAAUCGAUAAACCACGUAAAAUCUUGCUUGUUUUUGUUUUCAGCUUAUAUACCAUCAUUAACAGAUAAUCUUAAAAGAAAGAUAAUUAUUAAGAUUUAUAGACAAUUAAAAUUAGAUCAAGGUGUAGCUAAUAAAUGAGUUAAAAUGAAUUACAAUAAAUUUUAUUUAUACGGAUUAAUUAUUGAAAUAUGGAGAUAAAGGUGGAUUUGAUUGUAAUGUAAGUUUAAUAAGCUUUAAAGAUAUAAGUUCUAAAUUAUGUACAUAUCGCCCGUCGCUUUCAUUAAAGGAUGAAAUAAGUCGUAACAUAGUAGGUUUAUUGGAAAAUAAACCUGGAUUGAG
rnacentral:ncRNA from 1 species